AUAAAUAAAUGAUUAAAUUUAUGAAAUAAAUAUAUUGCGCCACAACUGUUGGUUCAACAACAUCCUAUACAAGUCUUUUAAGUUGUUUGAUUUACUAAUUUCCACUUAUUUCUAAAUCUUGAAUAGGGUUGGAGAGUUCCGUUGGGGGGUCAUAACAUAGUCAAAUUCUUUUUUAACAUCUCUAGUAUCCUCCUUUGCAACUUCAUUAUUUUCAUCUCUAGUAUCCUCAUGUACAGAUAUAGAACUCAUGGUAGUGGUGUGUAGUGGUGUUCAUCUUUUCUUUCACCCUUAAAUAUUUCCAUGGUAUUCAAUAUAAUAUGUGAGAUAUCUUUUAAUAAAAAUUCAGAAAUUUUUCUCCUCUUUAAUGAUCAAACGCCUUGCACUGUAACUAUAUGUCGCUACGUCCAGCAGUUACCUAAAAGCAAAAACAAAAACAAAAGUAGUUAACAUACAUUUCUGUUAUUCAAUUAAACAAAAAGGUAAAAUUAUACUAUGUGAUUUUUGAUCUCGAACAAGGCCUCCUUCGUCAACACCUCUGUUGUGGUUCAAGAGGAUUGACUUCCCAAAGCAUGAAUGGCAUUCACUUCUUAAUUGUUCUACAUAUUAUCAUGCAACAUGGUUUUGAACAUUGUAUCAUGCUUUUCACUUUUCUACUUACUUCAUACUCAUCAUCAAACUCAAUAAUCCACUUCUUAUAGCUAUUAAUCUCAUUUGGAGUCAUCGGAGACCGAGAAAACACUUUCUUAUUUUCACUAAACACAAAAGUCUGCAUGAUUCAUUAACCACAUGAUUUUCCGAAUAAUAAGAAGGAAAAUGUCAAACAAACAUCAACUUACCAAAAGUGGUGAAACAAAACACCAACUUUGCUUGUGGUGAAUAAAUUUAUCAAUUUCAGUUGAUUUUUCUAACUAAUCAUCAACUUUUGUUGACUUUGCCAAAUAAAACAUAUCGUAAAGUCAACUAAUAUACACAUUUCCAACAUAUUGUAGUAAAUCCGAGUUUUGGUUUACGUCUCAUACCUUUAUAGAAUUUUAUGUUGUAUUGAUGUUCUAAUUGAAGUAAUUGUAUUUCUAGAUUUAAUUGAUUUAAGAUGCAAGUAAUGGAUUAGAUAUUUUAU
rnacentral:sRNA from 1 species